rnacentral:rRNA from 1 species
CCUACGGGUGGCAGCAGUGAGGAAUAUUGGUCAAUGGGCGCGAGCCUGAACCAGCCAAGUCGCGUGAGGGAAGACGGUCCUAUGGGUUGUAAACCUCUUUUAUAUGGGAGCAAAAUACGCUACGCGUAGCGUUCCGUGAGUACCCGAUGAAAAAGCAUCGGCUAACUCCGUGCCAGCAGCCGCGGUAAUACGGAGGAUGCGAGCGUUAUCCGGAUUUAUUGGGUUUAAAGGGUGCGCAGGCGGACGAUAAAGUCAGUGGUAAAAUUGAGAGGCUCAACCUCAUAGAGCAGUUGACACUGGUUGUCUUGAGUGAAGGAGAAGUAUGCGGAAUGCGUGGUGUAGCGGUGAAAUGCUUAGAUAUCACGCAGAACUCCGAUUGCGAAGGCAGCUUACUGG